AAAAAAUGUAACCAUUACUAUUCUGAUAUUGACCUAGAGUAUUUAGUACAGUUAGAUAGUGAGUGGAAACAGACAUAGUACUUCUGGAAAGGGGGAAGGAAAAUUAAGGUCUGAAGACAGAACUUCCUGUUAUGUCAUGAAUUAUUUAUCUAUUCCCUCCCUUAUUUUAUCUCUGGCUGCUAAAAUACCAAGAUCCAACACAGAAGAAGACCAAUAAAUACUUGUUGAGCGACAGAAGGCAUGAUGAAAGAAGGGAUAGACACGGAAUCUCACAAGAAGCCAACUCUCCACAGAGACAUCCUGGGUUUGUUCCAGGUCUUUAUGGAGUAGUUAGCUCCACUGGGCUGGCUGGUCCAUAAAGCCCUGCAUUUCCUGUUCUUCUGAGUGGGGUUGGUCUUUCUCAGCCAAGAUUUCCUACAACAAAAGAAUACAAAAGAAG
rnacentral:lncRNA from 1 species